rnacentral:rRNA from 1 species
GUUGUAUAGUCAAGUAAUUAAGUGCAUGUGGUGGAUGCCUUGGCAGUCAGAGGCGAUGAAAGACGUGAUAGCCUGCGAAAAGCUCCGGGGAGGCGGCAAAUAUCCUUUGAUCCGGAGAUGUCUGAAUGGGGGAACCCACCUACUUUAAGGUAGGUAUUGCAACAUGAAUACAUAGUGUUGCAAGGCGAACGAGGGGAAGUGAAACAUCUCAGUACCCUUAGGAAAAGAAAUCAAUUGAGAUUCCCUCAGUAGCGGCGAGCGAACGGGGAUCAGCCCCUUAAGUUAUGUGUGUUUUAGUGGAACGCUCUGGGAAGUGCGAACGUAGAGGGUGAUAUUCCCGUACACGAAAGGGCACACAUAAUGAUGACGAGUAGGGCGAGGCACGUGAAACCUUGUCUGAAUAUGGGGGGACCAUCCUCCAAGGCUAAAUACUCCUGACUGACCGAUAGUGAACCAGUACCGUGAGGGAAAGGCGAAAAGAACCCCUGUGAGGGGAGUGAAAUAGAUCCUGAAACCGCAUGCAUACAAGCAGUGGGAGCACCUUCGUGGUGUGACUGCGUACCUUUUGUAUAAUGGGUCAGCGACUUAUAUUCAGUAGCGAGGUUAACCGUAUAGGGGAGCCGUAGAGAAAUCGAGUCUUAAUAGGGCGUUUAGUUGCUGGGUAUAGACCCGAAACCAGGCGAUCUAUCCAUGAGCAGGUUGAAGGUUGGGUAACACUAACUGGAGGACCGAACCCACUGUCGUUGAAAAGCCAGGGGAUGACUUGUGGAUAGGGGUGAAAGGCUAAUCAAGCCUGGUGAUAGCUGGUUCUCCCCGAAAGCUAUUUAGGUAGCGCCUCGGACGAAUACCAUAGGGGGUAGAGCACUGUUUCGGCUAGGGGGUCAUCCCGACUUACCAAACCGAUGCAAACUCCGAAUACCUAUGAGUACUAUCCGGGAGACAGACUGCGGGUGCUAACGUCCGUAGUCAAGAGGAAAACAAUCCAGACCGCCAGCUAAGGCCCCAAAAUCAUAGUUAAGUGGGAAACGAUGUGGGAAGGCAUAGACAGCUAGGAGGUUGGCUUAGAAGCAGCCACCCUUUAAAGAAAGCGUAAUAGCUCACUAGUCGAGUCGGCCUGCGCGGAAGAUGUAACGGGGCUAAAACUAUGUGCCGAAGCUGCGGAUGUAUACUUUGUAUACGUGGUAGGGGAGCGUUCUGUAAGCCGAUGAAGGUGUGUUGAGAAGCAUGCUGGAGGUAUCAGAAGUGCGAAUGCUGACGUGAGUAACGACAAAACGGGUGAAAAACCCGUUCGCCGAAAGACCAAGGGUUCCAGUCCAACGUUAAUCGGGGCUGGGUGAGUCGACCCCUAAGGCGAGGCCGAAAGGCGUAGUCGAUGGGAAAAUGGUUAAUAUUCCAUUACUUCUGUGUAAUGCGAUGAGAGGACGGAGAAGGCUAAAUCAGCCUGGCGUUGGUUGUCCAGGUGAAAGGAUGUAGGCAUGUAUCUUAGGCAAAUCCGGGGUACUCUAUGCUGAGAUCUGAUAGCAAGCUGUACUUGUACAGCGAAGUGGUUGAUGCCAUGCUUCCAGGAAAAGUCUCUAAGCUUCAGUUACACAGGAAUCGUACCCGAAACCGACACAGGUGGUCAGGUCGAGUAGACCAAGGCGCUUGAGAGAACUCUGCUGAAGGAACUAGGCAAAAUGGUACCGUAACUUCGGGAGAAGGUACGCUGUUGUUGGUGAUGGAACUCGCUUCCUGAGCUGACGACAGCCGCAGAAACCAGGCCGCUGCAACUGUUUAUUAAAAACAUAGCACUCUGCAAACACGAAAGUGGACGUAUAGGGUGUGAUGCCUGCCCGGUGCUGGAAGGUUAAUUGAUGGGGUUAGCGUAAGCGAAGCUCUUGAUCGAAGCCCCAGUAAACGGCGGCCGUAACUAUAACGGUCCUAAGGUAGCGAAAUUCCUUGUCGGGUAAGUUCCGACCUGCACGAAUGGCAUAAUGAUGGCGGCGCUGUCUCCAGCAGAGGCUCAGUGAAAUCGAAAUCGCUGUGAAGAUGCAGUGUACCCGCGGCUAGACGGAAAGACCCCGUGAACCUUUACUGCAGCUUGACACUGAACUUUGACCUUACUUGUGUAGGAUAGGUGGGAGGCUUUGAAGCUGGAACGCUAGUUCCAGUGGAGCCGUCCUUGAAAUACCACCCUGGUAAUGUUGAGGUUCUAACUCUGUCCCGUGAUCCGGGACGAGGACCGUGUCUGGUGGGUAGUUUGACUGGGGCGGUCUCCUCCUAAAGAGUAACGGAGGAGUACGAAGGUGCGCUCAGCGUGGUCGGAAAUCACGCGUAGAGUAUAAAGGCAAAAGCGCGCUUAACUGCGAGACCCACAAGUCGAGCAGGUACGAAAGUAGGUCUUAGUGAUCCGGUGGUUCUGUAUGGAAGGGCCAUCGCUCAACGGAUAAAAGGUACUCUGGGGAUAACAGGCUGAUACCGCCCAAGAGUUCAUAUCGACGGCGGUGUUUGGCUCCUCGAUGUCGGCUCAUCUCAUCCUGGGGCUGAAGCAGGUCCCAAGGGUAUGGCUGUUCGCCAUUUAAAGAGGUACGCGAGCUGGGUUUAGAACGUCGUGAGACAGUUCGGUCCCUAUCUACCGUGGGCGCUGGAAAUUUGAGAGGAUCUGCUCCUAGUACGAGAGGACCAGAGUGGACGAACCUCUGGUGUACCGGUUGUGACGCCAGUCGCAUCGCCGGGUAGCUAUGUUCGGAAGGGAUAACCGCUGAAAGCAUCUAAGCGGGAAGCCUACCUCAAGAUAAGAUUUCCCUAGGACUUUAUGUCCUCUAAAGAGCCGUUCGAGACUAGGACGUUGAUAGGUUGGAUGUGGAAGCAUAGUGAUAUGUGAAGCUGACCAAUACUAAUUGCUCGUGAGGCUUGACUAUACAACACCCAAGCAGUUG